UAAGCGGAGGAAAAGAAACUAACAAGGAUUCCCCUAGUAACGGCGAGUGAAGCGGGAAGAGCUCAAAUUUGUAAUCUGGCACUUUCAGUGUCCGAGUUGUAAUCUCGAGAAGUAUUUUCCGCGCCGGACCGCAUACAAGUCUGUUGGAAUACAGCGUCAUAGUGGUGAGAACCCCGUAACUGAUGCGGAUGCCCGGUGCUUUGUGAUAUACUUUCGAAGAGUCGAGUUGUUUGGGAAUGCAGCUCAAAUUGGGUGGUAAAUUCCAUCUAAAGCUAAAUAUUGGAGCAAGACCGAUAGCGAACAAGUACCGUGAGGGAAAGAUGAAAAGCACUUUGGAAAGAGAGUUAACAGUACGUGAAAUUGUUGGAAGGGAAACGCUUGAAGUCAGACUUGCUAUUCGGAGUUCAGCCGCAAGGUGUAUUCUUCGAUUUGCAGGCCAGCAUCAGUUUUUGGGGGUGGAAAAUCGUGGUUUGAAGGUAGCAGUUUCGGCUGUGUUAUAGCUUUCCACUGGAUUCAUCUUCGGGGACUGAGGAACGCAGUACGCUUUUUGCAAGGCUUUCGAGCUUUUCGUACUUAGGAUGCUGGUGGAAUGGCUUUAAACGACCCGUCUUGAAACACG
rnacentral:rRNA from 1 species